rnacentral:rRNA from 1 species
GGGUGCGAUCAUACCAGCACUAAAGCACCGGAUCCCAUCAGAACUCCGAAGUUAAGCGUGCUUGGGCGAGAGUAGUACUAGGAUGGGUGACCUCCUGGGAAGUCCUCGUGUUGCACCCC